GAUGAACGCUGGCGGCGUGCCUAAUACAUGCAAGUCGAGCGAACAGACGAGGAGCUUGCUCCUCUGACAUUAGCGGCGGAAGGGUGAGUAACACGUGGAUAACCUACCUAUAAGACUGGGAUAACUUCGGGAAACCGGAGCUAAUACCGGAUAAUAUAUUGAACCGCAUGGUUCAAUAGUGAAAGACGGUUUUGCUGUCAAUUAUAGAUGGAUCCGCGCCGCAUUAGCUAGUUGGUAAGGUAACGGCUUACCAAGGCAACGAUGCGUAGCCGACCUGAGAGGGUGAUCGGCCACACUGGAACUGAGACACGGUCCAGACUCCUACGGGAGGCAGCAGUAGGGAAUCUUCCGCAAUGGGCGAAAGCCUGACGGAGCAACGCCGCGUGAGUGAUGAAGGUCUUCGGAUCGUAAAACUCUGUUAUUAGGGAAGAACAAAUGUGUAAGUAACUAUGCACGUCUUGACGGUACCUAAUCAGAAAGCCACGGCUAACUACGUG
rnacentral:rRNA from 1 species